rnacentral:lncRNA from 1 species
UUGGCAGAUUUCUGCUGUGAAAGAACUUGAAAGAUUACCAUCAAUUUUGUCUCCCUCUUCUAUAAUUUUCCAAAGCACAGUUCAAUUCAUGCCAUAGUGCAAAACAGAUUGACAAGAUUCUAAAACCCAGAUCGAGUUUUACUUCUAGAACUCAGAAAAUGAAACACAGUAGAAAUCACACAGGAAAAUUGGAACUUUUUAAUAUAUUGAUUAGAUAUUUCAACAGAAACUUCUGGUUCCUUCUCAUUAAAAAAUUUUUGAGAUUUUGCUGCAUCAAACUUUAUGCUAGGAGUUAAUGGAAGAGAUAAAAU